GAUGAAGAACGCAGCGAAAUGCGAUACGUAAUGUGAAUUGCAGAAUUCAGUGAAUCAUCGAAUCUUUGAACGCAUAUUGCGCUCUCUGGUAUUCCGGAGAGCAUGCUUGUUUGAGUAUCAGUAAACACCUCAACUUCCAUAUCUUUUUUGAAAUGGGAGUUGGACUUGAGUGAUCCCAACGCUUUUCCUCACCGAAAAGUGGCGGGUUACUUGAAAUGCAGGUGCAGCUGGACUUUUCUCUGAGCUAUAAGCAUAUCUAUUUAGUCUGCCUAAAAAACAGAUUAUUACCUUUGCUGCAGCUAACAUAAAGGAGAUUAGUUCUUGUGCUGACUGAUGCAGGAUUCACAAAGACAGUUUCGGCCGACUUUGUAAACUCGAUCUCAAAUCAAGUAAGACUACCCGCUGAACUUAAGCAUAUCAAUAAGCGGAGGA
rnacentral:misc_RNA from 1 species